AUUGAACGCUGGCGGCAUGCUUUACACAUGCAAGUCGAACGGCAGCACGGGUGCUUGCACCUGGUGGCGAGUGGCGGACGGGUGAGUAAUGCAUCGGAACGUGUCCUGAAGUGGGGGAUAACGCAUCGAAAGAUGAGCUAAUACCGCAUAUUCUCUGAGGAGGAAAGUAGGGGAUCGAAAGACCUUAUGCUUUUGGAGCGGCCGAUGUCUGAUUAGCUAGUUGGUAGGGUAAUGGCUUACCAAGGCGACGAUCAGUAGUUGGUCUGAGAGGACGACCAGCCACACUGGGACUGAGACACGGCCCAGACUCCUACGGGAGGCAGCAGUGGGGAAUUUUGGACAAUGGGCGCAAGCCUGAUCCAGCAAUGCCGCGUGAGUGAAGAAGGCCUUCGGGUUGUUAAAGGUACUCUUUCCUAGUUGUAGAAGAAAAAGUACGUAGACUAAUAAUACAUGAUUCAUGACGGUAUC
rnacentral:rRNA from 1 species